CAUAAUCAUUAGUCUUGUAAUUUAAGACUGGAAUGAAAGGGUAAACUAGAGAGUUUCUUUAUUAACUUUUUUCUUUAAAUUUUACCUUUUAGUAAAAAGGCUAAAAUAUAUCUUUUAGACAAGAAGACCCUAUAAAGCUUUACAUAUAAUAAUUUAAUAAAUUAAAAAUAUGUUUUACUGGGGCGGUGAAAAGAUAAACACUUUCAUACUAUUAAGAUAAUACUAUUUUAAUACCCAAAACUUUUGAAGCUUAAAUAAGUUACUUUAGGGAUAACAGCGUAAUGUAUUCUUAAAGCUCAAAUUGACGAACAUGUUUGCGACCUCGAUGUUGGAUUAGAUUUCCCUUAUUCCGCAAGAG
rnacentral:rRNA from 1 species